rnacentral:rRNA from 1 species
CCCUUAUAUGUCCUGGGCCGCACGCGCGUUACACUGAUGCAUUCAACGAGCUUAUAACCUUGGCCGAGAGGCCUGGGCAAUCUUGUUAACGUGCAUCGUGAUAGGGAUAGAUUAUUGAAAUUAUUAAUCUUGAACGAGGAAUUCCUAGUAAACGCAGAUCAUCAAUCUGCAUUGAUUACGUCCCUGCCCUUUGUACACACCGCCCGUCGCACCUACCGAUUGGAUGGUCCGGUGAAGCCUCGGGAUUGUGGUUCUUGCCGCUUUAUUGUGGCGUGACCGCGAGAACUUGUCUAAACCUUAUCAUCUAGAGGAAGGUGAAGUCGUAACA